rnacentral:rRNA from 1 species
GACGAACGCUGGCGGCGUGCUUAACACAUGCCAGUCGAACGGAAAGGCCCUGCUUUUGUGGGGUGCUCGAGUGGCGAACGGGUGAGUAACACGUGAGUAACCUGCCCUUGACUUUGGGAUAACUUCAGGAAACUGGGGCUAAUACCGGAUAGGAGCUCCUGCUGCAUGGUGGGGGUUGGAAAGUUUCGGCGGUUGGGGAUGGACUCGCGGCUUAUCAGCUUGUUGGUGGGGUAGUGGCUUACCAAGGCUUUGACGGGUAGCCGGCCUGGGAGGGUGACCGGCGACAUUGGGACUGAGAUACGGCCCAGACUCCUACGGGAGGCAGCAGUGGGGAGUAUUGCACAAUGGGCGGAAGCCUGAUGCAGCAACGCCGCGUGCGGGAUGACGGCCUUCGGGUUGUAAACCGCUUUCGCCUGUGACGAAGCGUGAGUGACGGUAAUGGGUAAAGAAGCACCGGCUAACUACGUG